rnacentral:rRNA from 1 species
UACGGGAGGCAGCAGUGGGGAAUAUUGCACAAUGGGCGCAAGCCUGAUGCAGCCAUGCCGCGUGUAUGAAGAAGGCCUUCGGGUUGUAAAGUACUUUCAGUCGUGAGGAAGGUGUUAAGGUUAAUAACCUUAGCAAUUGACGUUAGCGACAGAAGAAGCACCGGCUAACUCCGUGCCAGCAGCCGCGGUAAUACGGAGGGUGCGAGCGUUAAUCGGAAUUACUGGGCGUAAAGGGCACGCAGGCGGUUAAUUAAGUUGGAUGUGAAAUCCCCGGGCUUAACCUGGGAAUGGCAUUCAAGACUGGUUAGCUAGAGUCUUGUAGAGGGGGUAGAAUUCCAUGUGUAGCGGUGAAAUGCGUAGAGAUGUGGAGGAAUACCGGUGGCGAAGGCGGCCCCUGGGACAAAGGCUGACGCUCAUGUGCGAAAGCGUGGGGAGCGAAACAGGGAUUAGAU